AUUGAACGCUGGCGGCAGGCCUAACACAUGCAAGUCGAGCGGAUGAAGGGAGCUUGCUCCUGGAUUCAGCGGCGGACGGGUGAGUAAUGCCUAGGAAUCUGCCUGGUAGUGGGGGAUAACGUCCGGAAACGGGCGCUAAUACCGCAUACGUCCUGAGGGAGAAAGUGGGGGAUCUUCGGACCUCACGCUAUCAGAUGAGCCUAGGUCGGAUUAGCUAGUUGGUGGGGUAAAGGCCUACCAAGGCGACGAUCCGUAACUGGUCUGAGAGGAUGAUCAGUCACACUGGAACUGAGACACGGUCCAGGCUCCUACGGGAGGCAGCAGUGGGGAAUAUUGGACAAUGGGCGAAAGCCUGAUCCAGCCAUGCCGCGUGUGUGAAGAAGGUCUUCGGAUUGUAAAGCACUUUAAGUUGGGAGGAAGGGCAGUAAGUCAAUACCUUGCUGUUUUGACGUUACCAACAGAAUAAGCACCGGCUAACUUCGUG
rnacentral:rRNA from 1 species